UGGGGAAUUUUGGACAAUGGGCGAAAGCCUGAUCCAGCAAUGCCGCGUGUGUGAAGAAGGCCUUCGGGUUGUAAAGCACUUUUGUCCGGAAAGAAAUCCUUGGCUCUAAUACAGUCGGGGGAUGACGGUACCGGAAGAAUAAGCACCGGCUAACUACGUGCCAGCAGCCGCGGUAAUACGUAGGGUGCAAGCGUUAAUCGGAAUUACUGGGCGUAAAGCGUGCGCAGGCGGUUUGCUAAGACCGAUGUGAAAUCCCCGGGCUCAACCUGGGAACUGCAUUGGUGACUGGCAGGCUAGAGUAUGGCAGAGGGGGGUAGAAUUCCACGUGUAGCAGUGAAAUGCGUAGAGAUGUGGAGGAAUACCGAUGGCGAAGGCAGCCCCCUGGGCCAAUACUGACGCUCAUGCACGAAAGCGUGGGGAGCAAACAGGAUUAGAUACCCUGGUAGUCCACGCCCUAAAACGAUGUCAACUAGUUGUUGGGGAUUCAUUUCCUAGUAACGUAGCUAACGCGUGAAGUUGACCGCCUGGGGAAGUACGGUCGCAAGAUUAAAACUCAAAUGAAUUGACGGGGUCAUAGCUGUUUCCU
rnacentral:rRNA from 1 species